CUGUAACUCCCACUACUCUCAGACAGCCAUGCCUGGCCUGGUUAGGUCCCUCUAUUACUGUAUUUGAAUGUGGCUGUAACUCCCACUACUCUCAGACAGCCAUGCCUGGCCUGGUCCCUCUAUUACUGUAUUUGAAUGUGGCUGUAACUCCCACUACUCUCAGACAGCCAUGCCUGGCCUGGUUAGGUCCCUAUAUUGCUGGCAUUUGAAUGUGGCUGU